CUUCUCUCAAGUUGAUAAUUUUCCAUAAUUAUGAAACAACAGUCUACAUUCUAGAAUUCUGUCUUGUUCAGUUUCUCUAGAAAAAACAGGCAAUAUCAGCAGUCUUCAGAGGACUUUGAUAUCUACAUUUUCUCAAGCACCCUAAAUGAUCAUUCCUUAAAAUGUAGAACUUAUGUUUGUUUUUCCACUAAGUAUUUUUGAGGGUUGGCAUUAUCUAUACAUUCAGCCAUAGAAUCACCCUUAAAAAUGCAUACAACAGGCUCUUCUGGGGAAUGCAAACAUUCAUUCAGCUGUUCUAGAUUAGCUAGACUUGUUGAUUUGCAAUAGAAGAGGGGUCUGAAAAAAAAAUCCUCUCCACCUCUCCUCCGUUUCUCCUCCUCCCCCCCCCCCCCCCCCCCCCCCCCCAUCAAUACUUGCCUAGGGCAAGAGAAUGUCAACCAGCAGAUCUCAGCUCAGACGUGAAAAUGAAAACCUGGGACUGCUAUGGAUUUUAGUGUUUGUUUGUUUGUUUGUUUUUUCUUUCAGAAGGAUACAGACCAGGAAAUUUCUGAAACACAAACAUAUGUUUGCACACUAACUCUAGUAAUUUUUUUUGAGUAAUUUAUUCACUGAUACAUGCCAGGGCAAGAGUUACAAAUCAGAAGUGUAUCUGCAAGGCAGAUUAUUUAUCUCCAAAGGAAACUCUUGCCAACUGAUCCCAGGCAGAAGAUUGGCUUUGGUUCUGCAAGCAGCUGCUCAUCUUCCCACUUUGCUGGAGACAGAGCAGAAGUUUUCAGCAAGAAUUGGGCUUUUUAUUGGAUCUGAAGUAUCUUCCUCAACAAAGGUCUUCAAUACUACCUGGAUUAUAAGUAACAUCAUUUAUAAUGACAGUACUAUGAUGCUAAAAAUGACUUCCAUGAAUGCAGCAAGAAUCACAAAGACUGGAAUAUGUGAGGAGCUCUUGUAUGGGCUGAUGGUGCAGAUCAUGACAGAAACACAAAACAAGGAAACUCCAGGGCUGCAUUAAGUGGUAUCAAGACCAUGGAAACUGGAAUUGAUAGCAGGUAUGAAGUGGAUUCAUCAUCCUUUUGGUGGACCAUGAAUGGGAGAACUGCUUCUUGUCUUAUCUCCUGCACAGACUCUGAUCUCUGGCUGCUCAGGUAAGGAUGCUUGAAAGAUGCAGGAAUUUUAAGCACCAGUCCAUGGCAUGGAUCUUCUCUUUGGUAUUUUCAUGCUGAGGUUUUUCUGACAGAUGGCAUAAAGAAAUAAGCCUCAUUCCUAAG
rnacentral:lncRNA from 1 species